CCUACGGGAGGCAGCAGUAGGGAAUGUUCGUCAAUGGGCGCAAGCCUGAACGAGCAAUGCCGCGUGAAGGAGGAAGGUCUUCGGAUCGUAAAGUUCUGUUGAAGGGGAAAAAGAGCGGAGAGAGGAAAUGCUUUCUGAUUGAUAUUACCCUUCGAGGAAGUCACGGCUAACUACGUGCCAGCAGCCGCGGUAAUACGUAGGUGGCGAGCGUUAUCCGGAAUGAUUGGGCGGAAAGGGUGCGUAGGCGGCCUGCUAAGCCUGGAGUGAAAGGUACCGGCGCAACCGGUACAGGGUCUGGGAACUGGCGGGCUAGGGGGCAGGGGAGGGCGGUGGGACUCCAUGUGUAGCGGUAAAAUGCGUAG
rnacentral:rRNA from 1 species